CGGGGACAGUGGGAGUAGGAACGAUGGGUGCAUUUCUCUAGCGCCCUCAGUAGCUCCUCGGCCGUCUCAAAGCUGAUGUCACCUGACCUUCUGAGUUACUCUAGUAUUUUGUGUGUUUCUUCGAAGAGCAUAACUCCCCUUUACACAGCAGGGGCCUCCCGCCAUUUUGCAUACCCAGAAGACACAGAAGACAAGGGAGCAGGAAGCGCAGAAUCAAAUAUCGCUAUGAUGAUAGCAACACACAUCAAAGUUGCUGGUGAACGCAGCAGGCCAGGCAGCAUCUCUAGGAAGAGGUACAGUCGACGUUUCAGGCCAAGACCCUUCGUCAGGACACAGAAUUCCUGUUGAUCGCUAUGAUGAUUGUAUGUUUCUAGUAUCAAUUGUUUGGCGACAAUAAAGUAUAAAGUAUGCCCUUAUUCUUUCUGCCGAAGUGCAUGACCAUACACUUCCCUACAUUAUAUUCUACCUGUCAUUUUUUUGCCCAUUUUAAACCCUUCUGCAGACUUCCUGCUUCCUCAACACUACCUGCCCUUCCACCUAUCUUUGUAUUGCCCGUAAACUUGGCCACAAAGCCAUCAAUUCUGUCAUCCGAAUCAUUGGCAUAGAAUGUAAAAAGAAAUGGUCCCUACACCGAUCCUUGCAGAACAUGAUUACGUCAUUGGCAACCAACUACAAAAGGCCCCCUUUAUUCCCACUCUUUGCCUCCUGCCAAUCAGCCAAUCUUCUAUCCAUGCUGGUAUAGCUUCUGUAACACCACCGGCUCUCAUCUUAUUAAGCAGUUUCAUGAGCGGAACCUUAUCAAAGGACUUCUGAAAACCCAAAUAAACAACAUCCACCGACUCUCCUUUGUCUAAUCCUGCCUGUUAUUUCUUCAAAGAAAUCCAACAGGUUUGUCAGGCAAGAUUUCCCCUGAAGGAAACUAUGCUGACUUUGACCUACUUUAUCAUGUGCUUCCAAGUACCUUGAAACAUCACCCCUAAUAAUGGACUGUAACAUCUUCCCAACCACUGAAGUUAGGGUAACUGGCCUAUAAUUUCCUUUCUUUUACCUCUCUCCCUUUUGCAAUUUUCCAAUCCUCCAGAACCAUUCCAGAAUCCAGUGAUUCUUGAAGGAUCUUUACCAAUGCCUUCACAAUCUCUUCAGCUACCUCUUUCGUGUCAAUGCCUCUCCUUUGUGAGCAAUUGUGUCAUUCUUGAUGCUGAAUACACGGGGAAAGCACCAACUGUCAUUCACUGCUUUAGACUGUGACCUCCACCAGACAUAGUCAGCUUCACAUUCCAAGAAAUGCAGCUGCUGCAUCUCCACCGCAACCUUAGAGCUGCAUUUCUUCAAUGUAGCAAGAAAUCAGAAUCAGGUUUGAUAUCUCCAACAUAUGUUGUGAAACAGUACAACGAUAAAUACAGAAAAAAACUGAAUUACAGUAAGGAUAUAUGUGCAUAUUAAAUAGUUAUAUUAAAGUAAGUUGUGCAAAUAUAGAAAUAAAAAAAAUAGUGAGGUAGUGUUCAUGGGUUUAAUGUCCACUUAGAAAUCAGAUGGCAGAGGGGGAGACGCUGUUCCUGAGUGUGGCUUCUGUACCUCCUUCCUGAUGGGAAGAGGGCCUGUCCUGGGUGAUACCAAAUCAGUUCUAGAAACAUAGAAACAUCGAUUUCCUUACUCCCCUGAACCAUUACAUGAUGCAAGUACUAAGCUCUGAAGGCAAAGAUGACACCUUGUCCAUAGGCUGACUAUUCUUAACUACAGAGUUAAUCAGAAAUAUCAGAAUCAGGUUUACUAUCACUGGCAUUUAGUGAAUUUUGCUGUUUUGUGGCAGCAGUCCAUUGCUCUAAUAAAAAACUAUAAAUUACAAUAAGAAAUAUUUAUUUUUUAAGUUAAAUAAGCAACGGAAAAAGGGCAUUGAGCGGAUUCAUUGUCCAUUCAGAAAUCUGAUUGCAGAGGCAGAAGAAGUUAUCUCAGAGGACGUGUCCUAGGCCCAGCAUGCAAGUGGAAUUCAAAGAAAGCACAGCAGUGCCUCUACUUCCUCAGGAGUUUGCAAAGAUUCGGCACGACAUCUAAACUUUGACAAACUUCUAUAGAUGUGUGGUACAGAGUAUUAUCGACUAGUUGUAUCACGGCCUGGUAUGGAAACACCAACGCCCAUGAAUGGAAAAUUCUACGAAAAGUAGUGAAUACAGCCCAGUCCAUCACGGGUAAAGCCCUCUACACUUGGUGCUGUUGCCUGAAAGGACUCACCACCACCAAGAAUAUGCUCUCUUCUUGCUGCCACCACCAGGUUCAGGAACAGUUAUCCCUCAAACAUCCGGCUCUUGAACCAGAGGAGAUAACUUCACUCAACUUUAUUCACCCCAUCAUUGUAAUGUUCCCAGAACCUAUGAACUCACUUUUAAGUACUCUUCGUCUUAUGUUCUCAAUACUUAUUAUUUAUUUAGUAUUACGAUUUCUUUUUGUACUUGCAUAGUUCGCUGUCUUUAGCACACUGGUUGAAGACUUUCUAGGUAGAACUUUCUAGAUAAACUAGAUAGAGGUACCUUCAAUGAGCCUUUCGAUGUUUUAAAUAGUCAGACUCAGAGUUCUAGAGCACAGAAACAGACUCUUUGGCCCAACUGGCCCAUGCCAGCCAAGAUGCCCCGUACAAGCCAAUCCCACGCCUACAUUCGACCCAUAAACUUCUAAACAUCUCUGAUCUAAAUAACCAGUCCAAAUGUGUUUUAAAUAUUGUUAUUGCUUCUGCCCUAACCACUUCCUCUAACAGAUCAUUCUACAUAGAUAACACCCUUUGUGUAAAAAAUAUUGUAUCUUAUGUUUUCUUAUAUUUUUCUACUCAUCUUAAAUCUAUACCCUCUCGUUCUUGAUUCUCCAGCUCUGGGGGUAAAAAAAAGACUGAGUGCAUUCACCCUAUCUGUACCCCUUAUGACUUUAUAUACUUCUAUAACAUCAGCUGUCAGUCUCCUACACUCGAAGUAAUAAAGUCCAAGCCUGUAUACCCUCUCUGUCAGGACCUGGCAGCAUCCUCUCCUGCACAGUUACAAAGAAGGCAUGAUAACACUACAUUUCAUUAGGUGCUUGAGUAGAAUUGGUAUGUCACCAAAGACAUUUGCAAAUUUCUACAGAUGUACCAUGGAGAGCAGUCUGACUGACUGCAUCUGUGUCUGGUAUGGAGGGGCCACUGUAUUGGGCAAAGCUGCUGAAAGUUGCAGGCUCAGCCAGCUCCACCAUGGGCACUGCCCUCCCUUGCACUGAGGACACUUCAAAAGGUGAUGCCUCAAAAAGGCGGCAUCCAUCAUCAAAGACCAUCACCCAAGACAUACCCUCUUCUCAUUGAGGUGGUGGUACAGGAACCUGAAGAGACCCAUGCAACAUGUCAAAAACAGCUUCUUCCCCUCGAUGGACAAUGAACCUACGUACACUACCUCACGAAUUUUCCCCCCUUGAUUUUUGCACUACCGAUCUAAUUUAUUUAUUUUUUUAUGUAUAAACUUGGUGCAAUUUAUUUUUUAUUAUUAUGUACUGUACACAGCGUUCAUUGACCUGACCAAGCCCUUUGAUACAGACAGCUGCAAUAGCCUCUGGAACAUUCUGUCGAAACUCGGCUGUCCCCUGAAAUUCCACAUAAACCUGUAGCAGCUCCAUGAAGGCUGAAGUGGUCAGGUUAAGUACAACGGCGACCUGUCUGACCCAUUCCCCAUCAAUACCAGCAUGAAACAAGGUUAUGUUUUGGCACCAACACUCUUGCCACCUUUUUCAGCAUGACGCUAAGGGAAGUGAAAAAGACCACCUCAGAGAGCACCUAUAUUCGGUUUUGCACUGACAGAAAUAUCUUCAACCUCCAUCACCUUCUCGCCCGAACAAAAGCCAAGCAAGAGCCCAUUCUUGAGCUACUAUUUGCAGAUAACUCUGCCCUUCUCAUGCACACAGAGGACAUGCUACAGGUUGAAGAAAAAAAUUAUCCUCUAUUAGAAGCUCCCUCAUGGCGUUUACAACCCUCCUUGGAUCACCAUUGACGAGCACCCUCUCACCACGGUCGAGCUGUUUAUCUACCUGGACAGUGUCAUCUCCAACGACGCUACGGUAG